UGCAUAUCAAAAGCGGAGGAAAAGAAACCAACAGGGAUUGCCCUAGUUACGGCGAGUGAAGCGGCAACAGCUCAAAUUUGAAAUCUGGCUCUUUCAGAGUCCGAGUUGUAAUUUGCAGAGGGCGCUUUGGCUUUGGCAGCGGUCCAAGUUCCUUGGAACAGGACGUCACAGAGGGUGAGAAUCCCGUACGUGGUCGCUAGCUAUUGCCGUGUAAAGCCCCUUCGACGAGUCGAGUUGUUUGGGAAUGCAGCUCUAAAUGGGAGGUAAAUUUCUUCUAAAGCUAAAUAUUGGCCAGAGACCGAUAGCGCACAAGUAGAGUGAUCGAAAGAUGAAAAGCACUUUGGAAAGAGAGUCAAACAGCACGUGAAAUUGUUGAAAGGGAAGCGCUUGCAGCCAGACUUGCUUGCAGUUGCUCAUCCGGGCUUUUGCCCGGUGCACUCUUCUGUAGGCAGGCCAGCAUCAGUUUGGGCGGUGGGAUAAAGGUCUCUGUCACGUACCUUCCUUCGGGUUGGCCUUAUAGGGGAGACGCCAUACCACCAGCCUGGACUGAGGUCCGCGCAUCUGCUAGGAUGCUGGCGUAAUGGCUGUAAGCGGCCCGUCUUGAAACACGGACCA
rnacentral:rRNA from 1 species